UACGAAGGGGGCUAGCGUUGUUCGGAAUUACUGGGCGUAAAGCGCACGUAGGCGGAUAUUUAAGUCAGGGGUGAAAUCCCGGGGCUCAACCCCGGAACUGCCUUUGAUACUGGGUAUCUCGAGUCCGAGAGAGGUGAGUGGAAUUCCGAGUGUAGAGGUGAAAUUCGUAGAUAUCGGGAGGAACACCGGUGGCGAAGGCGGCGACCUGGGUCGAUACUGACGCUGAGGUGCGAAAGCGUGGGGAGCAAACAGG
rnacentral:rRNA from 1 species